UACGUAGGGUGCGAGCGUUGUCCGGAAUUAUUGGGCGUAAAGAGCUUGUAGGCGGUUUGUCGCGUCUGCUGUGAAAUUUCGGGGCUCAACCCCGAACUUGCAGUGGGUACGGGCAGACUAGAGUGUGGUAGGGGAGACUGGAAUUCCUGGUGUAGCGGUGAAAUGCGCAGAUAUCAGGAGGAACACCGAUGGCGAAGGCAGGUCUCUGGGCCACUACUGACGCUGAGAAGCGAAGGCAUGGGGAGCGAACAGG
rnacentral:rRNA from 1 species